GCGGCCUAUCAGCUUGUUGGUGGGGUGAUGGCCUACCAAGGCGACGACGGGUAGCCGGCCUGAGAGGGUGACCGGCCACACUGGGACUGAGAUACGGCCCAGACUCCUACGGGAGGCAGCAGUGGGGAAUAUUGCACAAUGGGCGCAAGCCUGAUGCAGCGACGCCGCGUGAGGGAUGACGGCCUUCGGGUUGUAAACCUCUUUCGCCAGGGACGAGGCGCAAGUGACGGUACCUGGAGAAGAAGGACCGGCCAACUACGUGCCAGCAGCCGCGGUAAUACGUAGGGUCCGAGCGUUGUCCGGAAUUACUGGGCGUAAAGAGCUCGUAGGUGGUUUGUCGUGUUGUUCGUGAAAACUCACAGCUUAACUGUGGGCGUGCGGGCGAUACGGGCAGACUGGAGUACUGCAGGGGAGACUGGAAUUCCU
rnacentral:rRNA from 1 species